rnacentral:rRNA from 1 species
UAGGGAAUCUUCGGCAAUGGACGAAAGUCUGACCGAGCAACGCCGCGUGAGUGAAGAAGGUUUUCGGAUCGUAAAACUCUGUUGAUAGAGAAGAACGUUGGUGAGAGUGGGAAGCUCAUCAAGUGACGGUAACUACCCAGAAAGGGACGGCUAACUACGUGCCAC